UAUAGUUUUAGAAUUCAAUUAGGCCAAAUAGGCCUUAUAAAUUUUUUAUUUUUUUAACAUACUGGAUGACCAUUUACACUCAGGACUAAGGUGUCAUAUAGGCAGUAUAGAUGUAUAAAAAUAAAGUGUAACAUAACAAUCAGGCAUCAUAUUGCUAGUAGCUAGAGUAGCGUUGUUUGGUAAAUUUGUGUUUUUUAAAUAAAUUUGGCUAAUGGAC
rnacentral:lncRNA from 1 species